UCACACACAAACACACACACACACACACACACACUGAAAAUUCCUCUUUGACAUGAGUUCUUCUGUCACACAGCAAUAGAAAUCAAUUUGAUCUCAUUAAAAAAUCAGGAAGAAAAGGAAGAAAUUCGAAUAAAGGGAGCACCAGCUGUCCGUUUAAAAUGCACCAGCUGUCCGUGUAAAAUACACCUUUACGAUGCCGGGGAAAUCGGCCAAUCAGAUGUGCCGCUUCACAAACGAGGUUGAGGAAGUCUGGCUCCAGGUGUUGCACAAAUUCCCAGGUUAUGUUCCAAACCUCUUCCCGCUGCUGGAGGCAUGUACAUACACAUACACAGGCCCCAUGCAUUCAUGCAUAUGUACAACACAUGUGUUUUUCACUGCAUGUCACAGGCACUCUCAUGCUGUGUAGGACUCCCACUGGAAGAGAGACACCUGCCCUCCCCAGGGCAGCUGACCUGCAGGAGGACAAGGUGUUGGUGUGAAAGUUGUUGGCUCAACCAACCAGAAAUGUCAUCCUGUUAUUGCAGCAGUGCAUGAUGGGACCUCUGCACCUUUGCUGUAUUGGUUUUAUUCAUUUAUUCAGCAGGUUGCCUUGUACACUCAGCAUGAUAGGUGAUAGGAUACAGUGGAGGCAGCAAUGCAACUAGUUCAUAUCGAUCAUUGUGAGCUGAUCUUUCAGGCGAUGUGUAUUAUUGUCUUCAUACAGCUUUAUACAAAUAUUCUUGUUUCCCACUUUGUCUGUUAUUUUCUUCUCAUCAAUGUUGUCAGAACCUUCUACAGAUAUCUAAAUUAAUGUUGAGAGUGGAUAGAGGCCACCAGUCAGGUUUGAAGUGAUGCGAAAAUGCGAAAUAUUCGGCUUGCGCUUUUUCCUUCACAUUCCUGGUGCGAUGCAAAUACGAUUUUCAUGUUUGCAUAAUUAUACGCCACUGAAGAACAGAGGGGGAGAGAGAGGAAGGAGAAAUAAUGGCGACUACAUCCUUAAGUGAUGAUGACCUGGUCAUGGUUGUUAGCCUAUUAAAUAACAAAAAGAAAAAGAAGAAUCGAAGUGUCUGGGUACGUCCAAAACGGACCUUGUGUCAGGAGAUGGGGGAGCUCCAUUCAACGAUCUAGGAGCUUAGAUUGUAUCUUGAGAAAUUUUGACAAUACUCAAGAAUGUCCCGAGGACAGUUUCAAGAACUGCUCCAUCAGCUGACUCCACGUUUGCAGAAGGAGAGGACAAACUACAGAGAGCCGAUUGAUCCAGAACAAUGGCUCACCUAAGGUGAGAUUCGCCUGUGAGUGUUCGCAAAAUUCGCUACAGGGUCAAAAAAAUUACAGUCAAUUUUUUGCUCGGCAGAAGUUUGUAGCCAGUCUGGAAGCUUAGAUUGACUUUAUUAGGUUUAAAAAAAAAAAGGGAUUUAUUUGCUUCGCUAAUUUACAGGUGUGUAACGACCUUAAGUUUGGGUUGAAGACUAACUGCUAAACUUCACAGGAUACUGAACGGCUGCGCUCCACUCUAGAACAGCAGCCUGAUUAAAUACACAAGCAUUAUAAUCAAUGUGCAAGAUUCCACACAAUGCGUCCACCCUCUGGCCUCGCUGCGGAUCCGCUCCGAUGGUUGGAUCAGAUAGCCAAGGCCUCUAUUUUUGCUGGACGCCGCAGGACGGGGCAUCAAUUUAGUGCAGCACAGCAUGAACGGCAGUGGAAGUUGUAUGCGGCUACAGAGCAAACUAUCUGGUUAGUUUUCAAAAUAAAAUAAAGUCAAUAUAUUAAACUGUUUUUCACAUGAUAAUAGGAGGGGCCAGGGUUGCCGGAUGUGGGCGUUUCUGUAAACCGCCGAUCUUAUUCAGUGUCUCACGGUGAAACACGUGAGAUCUCAGGAGAUCUCGUCCAGUCUUGCAAGAAAUAUUGGUAAUAUCGCAAGCGCAUUUCCUCCGCUUGCGCCAGCGAAUCUGACCCGGUGGGCGCUGCAUGAUUGCGUUUUUUUACGGCCUGCUAUUCCAGAACGGAUCUGCAUACGGUGGAAUCCCGGCAUUAGUCAUAACUAAGUCAGUUGCAGGUUAUGUAACACUUUGACUUUAAGUUUAAGUCAUCUAAAUACACAGAUAAAUAAUGUUUACCAACAGUCUUCAGCAUUGACAUCCUCCUGCAGAGAGCGUAUAAUCCCUCUGUUAUCAUUUUCCCCGCUGAGUAUCUGAGUGAGGUCUGAGUUCUCACUUCUGCGCGGUAACAUAUGACACGUCACAUUCGAUUUCACUGAAGAGUAUUGAGUUAAUGGCAGAACACUGAAGCGCAGGUGAUACAGUGAGGCGAGUGUUGGCAGUAGAGGCAUGUUUGAGCUCCUACUGACAGCUCCCUGCUGUACAGAGAUAUAACUCAUCCAGUAUUGAUGAGCCGGGCUCUGCUCUGCUCCAGCACAGGGCACCAGCACACUGAAGAAAUAUGCAAAAGUGGCACACAGCAUGUUUCUAUCCUGCGUCUGCUCCCUUUCUCUUCCUCCACCUUAGCUCUACCUACUCUCUUUCUCUCACCACCUCCAUUUCUAACCUUGAAAUAUCAUAAGUAUCCUCCCAAGAAACAGAUAGCAGGAAGCAGGCUUUUCACAGCGAGGCUCCAGCUCAGGUAAUUGCUUUCAAAUUGUCGGCACAGAAAGCAUGAAAAAUCCUACCUCCCUCCUCGACGCCAAUCUCUGCUUUAAGCCCGACAACCAUCUGAUGGUUGCUUGACAGAGAGAGUCAUCAAUAAUUGAGGCUGGGAUCGCUUUGGGGAUGUUUGUUUUUUUUCAAGCUGCUGAGAUGACUUGAUUGUUUUCCUGUUUUCACCCGCAGAAGUAAAAAUAAGUAAAAGAAGACUGUCCCACUUUCAUGCAACACCAUUACAGUAACGACAUCCUGUAUUAGCAGAUAUGUACAUCCUCAUGGCGUGCAUUGAGGGUGUUUACUGAUCAAAUAAACUCAGUUUGCUCCCUAGAGAGUUGCAAGGCGCGUUUCAAGCUAUUUGGGUUUCACAUAAGCGCAGAAUAACAGAUUUUACUCAUCUGCAACCAGAGAAACUGUAGACAAGCAGCGAACACACAGGCCUGUGUCGCUCUGUGUGUGACUGAUGCCUUUUAGUCGUGCCUCCUAACUCAAAUUAAGAGCGUUUAUUUUGGCUCAGCGGGUCCGUGCACGCGUAUAUCUACAUGCAUGCUCUUAAGUUAUGUAGUUUUGUUAGCGGGCGUGCGCGUGAUGCCGCAGAUGUACCAGCUACAGCAGGUGUCCUUGAGGUCUGGGUGCAUUAUUCAGGCUCUGUGGGCAGGUGCAGCCUCUGACACCAUCUCUCAGGACUCUCAUUUUUCAGCCCCAGCUGCACUUUAACAACACUGAUGCUCUUAACUUGAAGAAAUGUAAAAGCUGGCUAUUUAGAGGAGAGCUCAGCUAUUUUCUUUUGUUUAGUUUGGCUUUUUUUUUUCUUCCUUUUUUAAUGUUCUUUGUUCUUUACAAAUCUCAAUCUCAAGGCAGUGCCAGCCAGGUACUUACAAGAAAAGUAAAAAAGGAGACGAAUAAUUUGGGCCUUCUUUUCCGAUUAACAAACUUUUCCCAACUUCAAACACAAACCGAUGAGAAUGCAUAAGGAUUUAAACUACCAAGACAUGUUUUUAGACUUUAGCCAAUGCAUACAUAAGAGAGACUAAAUCAAAUCAGAGCUAACUUCAAAAUAACAACAAUAAUAAUCUGUUUCUGUUAAAUCUAAUGCUACAAAAUGUUAACACCCCAGACAAAGAGAAAAACACAAUUCCAGGACAAUUAAAGCUCCUGUGAGUAGUUUUCUUGAUAUAAAUGAAACAGACUGAAAUUCAUAUU